AAAUUUUCAGCAUUGACUGACCUUCACGUCUUAAAGUAAUGAUGGACUGUCAUUUCUCCUUGCUUAUUUGAGCUGCUCUUGCCAUAAUAUGGACUUGGUAUUUUACCAAAUACCACCCCUACCUUGUCACAACACAACUGAUUGGCUCAAAAUCAUUUAAAUUAGCUUUUAAAAAGGCACACCUAUUAUUUGAAACGUGUUCCGGGUGACUACCUCAUGAAGCUUGUUGAGAGAAUGCCAAGAUUGUGCAAAGCUUGUCAUCAAGGCAAAGGGUGGCUACUUUGAAGAAUCUCAAAUCUUAAAUAUACUUUUAUUUGUUUUUUUUGGUUACAAUAUUCCAAAUGUCUUAUUUCAUAGUUUUAUUCUACAAUCUAGAAAAUAGUAACAUUAAAGAAAACCCCUUGAAUGAGGUGGUGUGUCCAAACUUUUGACUGGUGCUCUAUAUUCAGAUCAAGUCAAUGGCUUUUUCUCUUUUCCUAGAUUAUUUUGAGUACCAGGAGAGGCAAAACCCUUCCAGAAAAAACCACAUGUAGCUUCAUGUUAUCACAUGUUGCUUUACUUGUUGUCACAUGUUAUCACAUUAACUUCCCAUAAGAUGAAAAUGUGUUUUUUGGAACACUUCAUGUGUUCACGUUAAAUGAAUGUGGUUUUUCCGUAAGGGAAGAUGUGGUUGGACUGGGGCAGUGGAGUUCUACAGUGACAACAAGGAGCGCUCUAUUACACAAGCUCAAGUGGAUUGAAGACGGAGCUACCGAAUGUAAUCUGGUGCAAAGGGAUGACGCCCCCGGAAAGCACAUGAAAACAUUGUUUAAUGAACUCCUACAUUCUGUUUAGUCAUAAACCUACUGUAGGAUCACACUGAUUCUGACAUGGGGCCUAAAAGCCACACUACAUGAUGGGAAAGCUACUCAGUGACAUCACCCUAAAUUAGUAGCAACUAGCAUGUGUAGCAUGUAGAGGUUUUGCUGUGACACAAGCAGAAUGACACACCUGUCAAAGAGGCAAGAAAUAGUGACAUUCGAUUCUGUUCUUUUUUCUGAAGUCUACAGUCUUAAACUCUUCUGAAUAUCAUCAGUGGUCUUGCCUUUGUGAGUGUGUGUUUUCGUAACUGGAGAACCCCGAAGUUGACCCACCGGGAG
rnacentral:lncRNA from 13 species